AUUCCAGCCUCGGGGAAUGUGCUUUGUUCCUUUAAAUGAAAAUGGGGCCAUUUCUGUGACCCUCCCGUGGGAGGCUUGGGGUGGGUGGAAGAAUUAUUCCAUUAUUCCCUUUUAUUCCCACGUGGCUGCUCCGUGUCCUUGGCAGGGACAGGAGGGGGAGGGAGCACCUUGGCUUCUCCCCAAGGGCUUCACCCCAAAAUUAGGGAGGUGUCGUCACAUUUUUUGGGGGAGUUUGGCUCUGCUGGGAAGGUCCCCAAGUCGCCAUGGGCAGCUCUGACCACACCACGGGGGGGUUUGGUGAAUUAUUUAAUGUGGAAAUCUGUGUUGGGAUGUAGAAAGAACAGCUUUUCCAGUUAAAAAAAAAAAAACAAAAAACCAAAAACUGGUGGGUUUGGUGAAUUAUUUAGUGUGGAGAUCUGUGUUGGGAUGUAGAAACAACAGCUUUUCCUUUUCCACUUAAAUUUGAUGAAUUAUUUAAUGUGGAGAUCUGUGUUGGGAUGUAGAAACAACAGCUUUUCCUUUUCCAUUAAAUUUGGUGAAUUAUUUAAUGUGGAGAUCUGUGUUGGGAUGUAGAAACAACAGCUUUUCCCUUUCCAGUU